UAUAAUUUAUAGUCUUUGUCUUUCAGAUAAAACCUGAAACAAAAAUAGAACACGGAAAAAAAAUAUUUUUACGAUGUAAUCCUAAUUAUGAAAUACCAACAGAAGAAUGGUAUCAAGGAGAUGUAGAAAUUACCUGCAAUUCUGGCAAUUUUGAACCAAAACCUGCUUGUCAUCCAGCUCGAUGUAGGAGCCCACCUCCCAUUAAUGGAAAAGGAAGACCUUUGGAAAAUUAU